rnacentral:rRNA from 1 species
AUAAGUGCAUGUGGUGGAUGCCUUGGCGAUCACAGGCGAUGAAGGACGUAGUAGCUUGCGAAAAGCUGCGGGGAGCUGGCAAACGAGCUUUGAUCCGCAGAUGUCCGAAUGGGGAAACCCGGCCCGUAUGGGUCAUCCCUUGCUGAAUACAUAGGCAAGGGAGGCGAACGCAGUGAAACUGAAACAUCUAAGUAGCUGCAGGAAAAGAAAUCAACCGAGAUUCCCAAAGUAGUGGCGAGCGAAAUGGGAACAGCCUUGUACUCUUUAGCAGUAUUGUUAGCGGAACGGAAUGGAAAGUCCGGCCAUAGUGGGUGAUAGCCCCGUACGCGAAAACAGUAUUGUGGAACUAGGUGUACGACAAGUAGGGCGGGACACGUGAAAUCCUGUCUGAAGAUGGGGGGACCAUCCUCCAAGGCUAAAUACUCGUGAUCGACCGAUAGUGAACCAGUACCGUGAGGGAAAGGCGAAAAGAACCCCGGGAGGGGAGUGAAAUAGAUCCUGAAACCGCAUGCAUACAAACAGUCGGAGCCUGGAAACGGGUGACGGCGUACCUUUUGUAUAAUGGGUCAGCGACUUACAUUCAGUGGCAAGCUUAACCGAUUAGGGAAGGCGUAGCGAAAGCGAGUCCGAAUAGGGCGUUCAGUCGCUGGGUGUAGACCCGAAACCAAGUGAUCUAUCCAUGGCCAGGUUGAAGGUGCGGUAACACGUACUGGAGGACCGAACCCACUAACGUUGAAAAGUUAGGGGAUGAGCUGUGGAUAGGGGUGAAAGGCUAAACAAACUUGGAAAUAGCUGGUUCUCUCCGAAAACUAUUUAGGUAGUGCCUCGUGUCUCACCUUCGGGGGUAGAGCACUGUCAUGGUUGGGGGGUCUAUUGCUGAUUACCCCGCCAUAGCAAACUCCGAAUACCGAAGAGUGCAAUCACGGGAGACAGACAUCGGGUGCUAACGUCCGGUGUCAAGAGGGAAACAACCCAGACCGCCAGCUAAGGUCCCUAAGAUUGGCUAAGUGGGAAACGAAGUGGGAAGGCUAAAACAGUCAGGAGGUUGGCUUAGAAGCAGCCACCCUUUAAAGAAAGCGUAAUAGCUCACUGAUCGAGUCGUCCUGCGCGGAAGAUGUAACGGGGCUAAGCCAGUCACCGAAGCUGCGGAUGCACGUAAGUGCAUGGUAGGAGAGCGUUCUGUAAGCCUGUGAAGGUGUCUUGUAAAGGAUGCUGGAGGUAUCAGAAGUGCGAAUGCUGACAUGAGUAGCGAUAAAGGGGGUGAAAGGCCCCCUCGCCGUAAGCCCAAGGUUUCCUACGCAACGUUCAUCGGCGUAGGGUGAGUCGGCCCCUAAGGCGAGGCAGAGAUGCGUAGCUGAUGGGAAGCAGGUUAAUAUUCCUGCACCGUCGUAUGAUGCGAUGGGGGGACGGAUCGCGGAAGGUUGUCCGGGUGUUGGAAGUCCCGGUCCCUACAUUGGAGAUGGCACUUAGGCAAAUCCGGGUGCGUGAUUCAAGGGUGUGGGGCGAGCGACGUUAGGUCGCGAAGCAAUUGGAAGUGGUUCCAAGAAAAGCCUCUAAGCUUCAGUCAUACGAGACCGUACCGCAAACCGACACAGGUGGGCGAGAUGAGUAUUCUAAGGCGCUUGAGAGAACUCGGGAGAAGGAACUCGGCAAAUUGGUACCGUAACUUCGGGAUAAGGUACGCCCUUGUAGUUUGACUGGCUCGCGCCAGAAGGAUGAAGGGGUUGCAAUAAAAUGGUGGCUGCGACUGUUUAAUAAAAACACAGCACUCUGCAAACACGAAAGUGGACGUAUAGGGUGUGACGCCUGCCCGGUGCCGGAAGAUUAAAUGAUGGGGUGCAAGCUCUUGAUUGAAGUCCCGGUAAACGGCGGCCGUAACUAUAACGGUCCUAAGGUAGCGAAAUUCCUUGUCGGGUAAGUUCCGACCUGCACGAAUGGCGUAACGAUGGCCACACUGUCUCCUCCCGAGACUCAGCGAAGUUGAAGUGUUUGUGAUGAUGCAAUCUCCCCGCGGCUAGACGGAAAGACCCCAUGAACCUUUACUGUAGCUUUGCAUUGGACUUUGAACCGAUCUGUGUAGGAUAGGUGGGAGGCUUUGAAACCGGGACGCUAGUUUCGGUGGAGCCGACCUUGAAAUACCACCCUGGUUUGUUUGAGGUUCUAACCUUGGCCCGUGAAUCCGGGUCGGGGACAGUGCAUGGUAGGCAGUUUGACUGGGGCGGUCUCCUCCCAAAGUGUAACGGAGGAGUUCGAAGGUACGCUUGGUACGGUCGGACAUCGUACCUAAAGUGCAAUGGCAAAAGCGUGCUUAACUGCGAGACCGACAAGUCGAGCAGGUGCGAAAGCAGGACAUAGUGAUCCGGUGGUUCUGUAUGGAAGGGCCAUCGCUCAACGGAUAAAAGGUACUCUGGGGAUAACAGGCUGAUACCGCCCAAGAGUUCAUAUCGACGGCGGUGUUUGGCACCUCGAUGUCGGCUCAUCUCAUCCUGGGGCUGUAGCCGGUCCCAAGGGUAUGGCUGUUCGCCAUUUAAAGAGGUACGUGAGCUGGGUUUAAAACGUCGUGAGACAGUUUGGUCCCUAUCUGCCGUGGGCGUUGGAAUCUUGACGGGGGCUGCUCCUAGUACGAGAGGACCGGAGUGGACGUACCGCUGGUGUACCUGUUGUCUCGCCAGAGGCAUCGCAGGGUAGCUAUGUACGGAAGAGAUAACCGCUGAAAGCAUCUAAGCGGGAAACUCGCCUGAAGAUGAGGAUUCCCUGGAGACUUGAUCUCCCUGAAGGGUCGUUCGAGACCAGGACGUUGAUAGGCUGGGUGUGGAAGCGCAGUAAUGCGUUCAGCUAACCAGUACUAAUUGCCCGUGCGGCUUGAUC